rnacentral:tRNA from 4 species
GGCGGCGUAGCUCAGCUGGUUUAGAGCGGCGGAUUCAUAACCCGCAGGUCUCCGGUUCAAGUCCGGACGCCGCUA